AAGCGGAGGGAAGCGGUGAAAAACGUUUAGUAGGUGGAGACGGAGAAAGACAGCGGCUGGCGACGAGGGAGGAGGCGAAAAGAUAGCCGUGCGCGUCGUCUCGAAAAUAGAAACGGCUUCGUUGACACUCCGCUACAAAUUGUCCGUGUCGUUAUGCUCUUUGUGAAAGCCAACGCUCUUUCUUCCUGUCGCGCAGGAAUACUUUGCAAUUAUCGCGGUCUGGAACUCGUCGACCUAGGCUUCUGCUCUCUUCAUUCAUGGGGAUCAAAAGUGGGGAUCGGAGCAACUUACCAUCUGAAAUAGCAAACUAAACAUUAACAAAGGACCUGGACGUGGAAGGAGCCGCGACGUAGGAUCCCAAGGGAGGUCUUGGAAUGGAGGAUGGAGCUGCAAAAGGAAAUGGGAGAGAUUGAAAUCUCCUUGCACCAUGCUGAUCCUAAGCGAGGUCCUGGGAUGGAGGAUGGAGCUGCAAAAGGAAAUGGGAGAGAUUGAAAUCACCUUGUACCAUGCUGGUAUGAUAAUAUAUUUGACAUUCCUCGAGUGAGUAGAAUCUUCCUCUAAAUUCCUUACUUUUUAUGUUGUGCUUAUUUAUAAGAU